rnacentral:lncRNA from 10 species
CUGAACUCUCAUCCCAGCCACAUCUUUCAAUGACUAACACAAUUAUCAUUUUGAAGGAGACCCACGUAUUGAGGGACUGAAGUUUCAGCAGCACAUGAGUGACCUUCGAAAUGGAUCCUCCAUCACCUUCAGAUGACUGCAGCCCUGGAUCACAACUUCACCACAACCUUGAGAGUGACCCUCACCUUGAACCUCCCAGCCAAGCUGUUCUCAGACUGUCCUCUGGUGGAGCUUUUGUGCUGCAUUGAAACAUGGAGGAGAAGGUCAAAGGGGAAGCAAGCAUGAAGAGGGACCAGACCAGAGGGGCAUCCUGGAUUUAUAGAAACCUACUCUUGGGGGAACUAAUCCAUUCCUGUGAGAACUAAACCAGUCUCACCAGAGCAAGAAAUCACUCACUGCCACAAGGACAGCACCAAGAUAUUCAGGAAGGACCUGUCCCCAUGACCCAAACACCUCCCACCACACCCUACUUCUCAACACAGACACACGGGGGAAUCAAAUUUCAACAUGAGAUUUGGUGAAGACAAACAAACCAUAUCCUAACCAUAGCACUUCCCAAGAAUGGCAUAAGAUUUAACUGAGGUAAUGUUACUGAAAUGCCAGGGGUUCACUCUAGGUCCUUCUGCUUGCCACACAGAAAGCCAAUCACUGAGACAAUGAGUAUGACUAGGGAAGAAGUCUUUAAUUAGGUGCUGCAGCCAAGGCAAUGGGUGAUUGGUCUCAAAUCUAUCUCCCUGACUAACUAAAAUUAGAAGUUUAUAUAGCAGGGAAGAACUAUAACCACGUAUGGGAAAACAAGAAUUAGUGAGGGGUAAGGAAGAGGAGUUGGUCAACAGGAAGCAGGUGGCUGGCUAGGCACUCAUGACAGGUGAGGGGUCUGGUGUUUCACUGUCCAGAUGCAGUGAUCUGGUAAGUUUCAGUUCCUUGAUACUAUCUGGGAGGGCUGAUGUUUGGUUUUCUGAGAAAGGAACUCAGAUAAAAUAAAUGUUUAGUGCUUCAGUGGAAGUUUAUAUAUAUGUAACUUUCCCAAGUUUCAAGACUGGGAGGAUGAAUUUCUAUGUUUAUUCAAAAGAAACCAUAAACAUCAGUUCUAGGGACAAUUGGGCUGGCUUCAGUCAUGCACAUUUAGCCCUUUCCUGUACCCUACAUCCCCUCUAUUUGAAAGCAGUGGUCCUACACUCAAACAGUCUUCAGGUCCUCACCUCCAACCAUGACCUCCCUCUUGUAUGUCUUGUCUUUCUAAGGGAUCCCCAGUCACCCACCCAAAAAGCUAGUGGCUGUCCAAGGCUCCUCCUUUGCCUUCAUCCUCCCGGCUCUGAACAACUCCUGGCCACUGAUUCCUGUCUGAGUUAGGAGUUAGAUGCAUCUGCUCUGAGCUCCCCUGAUCUACACGUACUUCACAAUGUGCACUUUACCCACACUGGUGAAUGCUCAGUAGACUCAGAUUGUCUUGCAGGAAGGACUUAGGGUUUUUAUCUCUGAAUAAUGAUAUUUGUGGAACUAAAGUGAAAUAAAAGAAUAAUAGCUCAA